AUUUAGCUCAGUUGGUUACAGUGUGGUGCUGAUAACACCAAGGUUGCAGGUUCGAAUCCCUGCAUGGGACA